rnacentral:SRP_RNA from 1 species
GCCGGGCAUGGUGGUGCGUGCCUGUAAUCCCAGCUACCUGGGAGGCUGAGGUUGGAGGAUGGCUUGAGCCCAGGAGGCAGAGAUUGCAGUGAGCCAAGAUUGUACCACUCCACUCCAGCCUGAGCGAAAGAGCCAGACCUUGUCUCAA